GAUGAACGCUGGCGGCGUGCCUAAUACAUGCAAGUCGAGCGAACAGACGAGGAGCUUGCUCCUCUGACGUUAGCGGCGGACGGGUGAGUAACACGUGGAUAACCUACCUAUAAGACUGGGAUAACUUCGGGAAACCGGAGCUAAUACCGGAUAAUAUAUUGAACCGCAUGGUUCAAUAGUGAAAGACGGUUUUGCUGUCACUUAUAGAUGGAUCCGCGCCGCAUUAGCUAGUUGGUAAGGUAACGGCUUACCAAGGCAACGAUGCGUAGCCGACCUGAGAGUGUGAUCGGCCACACUGGAACUGAGACACGGUCCAGACUCCUACGGGAGGCAGCAGUAGGGAAUCUUACGCAAUGGGCGAAAGCCUGACGGAGCAACGCCGCGUGAGUGAUGAAGGUCUUCGGAUCGUAAAACUCUGUUAUUAGGGAAGAACAAAUGUGUAAGUAACUAUGCACGUCUUGACGGUACCUAAUCAGAAAGCCACGGCUAACUACGUG
rnacentral:rRNA from 1 species